UGAGGCAUAGGACGAGUUGGUAGAGUGCAUGCUUUGUAUUUAUGAUGUCCUGGGUUCAAUCCCCAGCUUCUCCC